AGGGUUGUGGCUCAGCGGUAGAGCGCUCGUCUCUCACUCGUGGGACCCUGAGCUCGAUUCUCAGCACUA
rnacentral:tRNA from 1 species